rnacentral:rRNA from 1 species
UGAGCAAUCUGCCGAUUUCUGGGGGAUAGCCGGCCCAACGGCCGGGUAAUACCGCAUAUUCUCAUGAAGGGACAUCCCUUUAUGAGCAAACCUCCGGGGGAAAUCGAGGAGCUCGCGUCCUAUCAGCUAGUUGGUGAGGUAACGGCUCACCAAGGCUAUGACGGGUAGCUGGUCUGAGAGGAUGGCCAGCCACAUUGGGACUGCGACACGGCCCAGACCUCCGUAGGGAGG